CUUUGUUUCUGCUGGAGACAAAUUAGAGAGAGAGAGCACGGCUGAGAUUAGAGAAAGAAAGACAGAGUGCACGGCUGAGAGACCAAGAAGAAGAAGAUAAAGGAAAGGAGAAAGCCUUGUGGGACACCAAGAUUUAAGUCAAAAAUUGUGAAAAAAUCAUCCUAAGGUCACGCGCCAUUGUCUGCCUGAUUUAUCUGAUAUGUCCAAUCCCUCUGAUUUGCUUCUGCGGCUAUCUGUAAUCAGGCGCGCGACCAGGCUUAGAGGCAUCUGC